GGAUUAGAUACCCUGGUAGUCCACGCCGUAAACGAUGUCGACCAGCCGUUGGGUGCCUAGCGCACUUUGUGGCGAAGUUAACGCGAUAAGUCGACCGCCUGGGGAGUACGGCCGCAAGGUUAAAACUCAAAUGAAUUGACGGGGGCCCGCACAAGCGGUGGAGCAUGUGGUUUAAUUCGAUGCAACGCGAAGAACCUUACCUACUCUUGACAUCCUGCGAAUUUGGUAGAGAUACCUUAGUGCCUUCGGGAACGCAGAGACAGGUGCUGCAUGGCUGUCGUCAGCUCGUGCC
rnacentral:rRNA from 1 species